AAAAAAAAAAAAAAACCCACAAGUGAAUUGGGUAAGUACAAUAUUUUCAUUCAGUAGAAUAUUAUAGAACCAUUAAAAAAGAUUUAGACUACAGUUAAAAGUUUAAAAAAAGUUGUUUAAAAAAGUGUGCAUGCUUUCCAAUUGCAGAAUGGGCUGUUGUGAGGUCAUAGUGGUAAAUGUACAUAUCAGUAUAUUAAGAAUAAGCAAAAAUUGGUCCAGAAGCUGUCCCAAGGCCAGGCCCUAGGGAACUGGUCUGUGGGUAGUCUGAGCUAUAUGGGUCGUCUAGACUGUACUUCCUGGCUCCUCCUGACUUCCUUCCUCCUCCUCCUAGGAUGCUGUUUGUGACUGUAGCAGCACCCAGUCUCUCGCCGCCUGCUUCUCCCGGCCAUCCCGCUCUGCCAUCCGCCACUCUCCUUCCAAGUGAGGGAACAGUGGAGAGGAGGUGAGGAGAGGAGGCGAGGGGCUGUUCCCUCAGCAACGCGGCUCCCUGGAGGGACAGCAGCUGUGCCACUGCCAGCAGAGAGCUUUCAUAUCAAGGCAAAGCAGGGUCUCAUGCUGACCACUGGGUGGUAAUCUCUGACUUCCCAAGGGAAGACAGUGAGCAGGAGAAGGACCACAGCUGGGCCUUGUAAGCUUCUACGGAGAGCUCAUCAGGACUGAUCCCUGGUCCUAAAGGAGACCUUUGUCUGCUUCUACCCGCACCCACUCCUUGCAAGAGCCCAGGAAGGGGAUAUACCUCCAGCCAUGCCUGUGAGGAAAGGGCCUCACAGAGAUAUUACCUGCUGACUGCACCCUUUCCCUGGGAAGGAGAUGUCACUGAGAAGAACUGCCUUUGCUCUUGGACCCACCUUGGUGUUCCCGGUAGAGCAGGGCUGGACAUCAACACCAUAGCCUCCCACCACCUUCUCUCCCUAUCCCUGCUGCCCCAGAUUGCUAGGAGUUUAGGGGGGGUAUGAGAGGGCAGUAGUCAGGGCCAAGUGUCUAUUUGGAAUCCUGGAGCCCUGGAUCUCCCUGCCCAUACCUGGAUGCAGCCCAAACUGGGAGAUAAGGUGGAAAUGUGUAGGGAAUUGCCUGCCUUGCCAAGGUGACUUGCAGGAACCCAACCUUCCCAGGAGACUCGGUGAGGCCAGAAAUAAGUAGACUCAAUCUCAAGACCUAGUACAUAGAUAAAUGCCUACAUGCCCACGCCUUGAUCUCUGGGGCCUCUUUCCCUGGUGCCCUGAAGGGGCACCGCAUCUCCACUGUGUUUACAUCCUGCAGCUGGUGAGAUAUUCCCAAUACAAGACGCCCAGGUGGUCAGGUCAGGCCAAUAACUCCAAGAACUCAGUGUCCCAGGACACAGUAGCAGACUGGGGCAUGGAAACACAUGUCUUGCCUAGAUUGUUUAUUUGAAUUUUUCAUACUAUAAAUAUUUAAGGUAGUUUACUUUAUUUUAAUAAUUUAAUUUACCCAAAAGCCCCCAAGUUAAUUUAUUGGAGGGUAAGACCUGUAUUUUUGCCACUGGGACAAUGUGGGGCCUCAAACCUCAUGAACAGGCGUGAAGUCCCCCCAUAUGGAUGAGGCAGCUCAGCUGCCAAGUUCUGGUCUCCUGCUCAGUUUGGGGGUCCCCUCCCCCAGAGCUAGGGCCUGCAGCUUGCUCCUCCACCUCACUGACCAUUCAGCUUCAGUGUACUCCUUUCACUUAGUACGUGGUACUUGCCUGGCCUCCGUAGGUCCGUGUGUAAAUGCGCUGGACAGGGUGGCCGGCCAGACUGACGCCACCAUUCCCCAAACAUCCUCCAUUUCCCUUCUUGUUUUCCUCCCUUCUCUGACACCUUUCUCAAUAAGUCAAAUGCAGAUUACCAUGGCUCCAGCAAGAGCAUGGAGAUCCCUCCAACUUUCCCAAGUGAGAACUUGCAGGAAAACAGGAUGAACUUGAGAAUGUUGUUUAUUGCAGCUUUGCACACGGAUCUGAGAGUGUCUACCAGCCCGCCAGCCUUUUCACCAGCCUGUCUCCUUAGCCUUAUGGCCUCUCACUGCUCUUCUCCCAGCCUCAGCUCCACUGCCUGCCCUUUCUCACACCCGUGGGAACCACAAGUGCCGUCUGAUGGACUGAAGUGUGGCUCGGCUGCAGUACAGUGAGGAGGGCCUCACAUUCCCUCCCCCUCGGUGCCAAUGAACCCAUUUUGGUUGCACACAUGUCCACCUUCCCUCUGUCAACCCACAGAUGUGCAAUCCUCCUGCCACUGCUGGGAACCAAGAGUCACAUCCCAGGAUGAAUAGGCUUGUCUGCAGAAUUCCCCCAUCAGAAAGGAUGCAAGUCAGCAGUGUUGCUAGUUUGUCCCCAGGAUGCAGAAGACGGCUUGCACUCCCACCUACUAGUUCCCAGUGUACCCUUUUCAAGGGCAUCUGGACAGACACCCAGAAUCUUUUAUCUCCAUUCCCUAUGGGCAGCAUGUCAUUCCUGCCAGCUGCUCCUUCAUACUCUAGUGACUUGGAUGGACAGAGCGGGUGGCCAGUGGAGUUGUGGGCCAGUGCCUCUACAAUACUGCCACUUCCACCCAAGAGGUCAGGGGCCCCUCCACAUCUGUCUCCAGGUGAAGGGGUUCACAUAGGUCACAAGCCACAAGAGGCCUUCUGCCACCUCCCAGAGCUGCAGAAGGCCAGGGAGGCUGCACUCUUAGCCUUGGGGAAAAGUCCCGGUGAGACCCAAACCCCAAGGCCUGUGGGCCACUUAGCCUUACCAUCGUCCUCAUCUGAGAUUGUCAUGCUAUCUUUGUCGUCACAGCAUCUGGCCCCAAUGGGUGUUUGAGGUUCCAGGUCUUGGUUUUCAGCGAAGUCCCAGUUUCUCCUUCUUGGCAUGCCACUGUUCAAGGCCACUUGUCAAUGUUCCUACAGAAGCCUCUGGAUGUGGGGCUUGAUGGGAUUUUGAAAAUGUUACGUGUAAAUAUUGGUUUGGUUUAAUUUUUUAGCAUUUUACUUGGUAACUGGUUGUGUUUUCUUUCUUGGGGUGGGAGGGUUGGUUUGUAAAAACUCUCUACUCUUUUGGAAUGUGAUUUCUAAGUUUGUUUUGUCAAAUGCCUUUUACAUCUUGGUAACAUUCCCAAAGCAGAAACUGCCUGACCCACAGUGGGGUCUCCCUUAGAGAACUGAGAGUCCCAAGAUGGAAUGCUGCCCCUUCUUCCCCUUUCUACUCCUCUCUACCUUUUGACUGCUACCCCUUCCACCUUCUCCUCACCUAAUCUUCUUCCUUUUGUCCUGUCUCUUAAACCAAAGUCCCAAGGAACCCUGGGGUCCCAGUCCCCUACAGACUGGUUGACUUGGAUCCAUGGGUUGGCAUCAGCUGGUUGGGGGAAAAGGUGUACUAUUUCUAUGGUUGACCCCACACUAAAUGACUUCCCAUUUCUUAUGUCUGACCUCUUCCCAGAGCCAAAUUAAAUCCUCCUGCAAUGGGCUCUGUAUUUGAAAUGAAAAUCAACUUUAACACAUCAGUGACUCUAAGGCCUGGAUGCACAAGGGAUCAGAAUCUAAUUCCUGUCCCCUGCCCAUUUCCUCAACAAAGGCUGACCUGUAAAAGGACUGUGCUUUAUGAACUCGAAAUGGGUCCCAUCCCUUGGCCUCCCUUGGGUUGCUCUUCUACCAGCUAGCCUCCAGGUCACAAAGCUGAGGGCUCAAAGGCUUGACCCUAAUCUUACAUUUCCAUGCCUAUUCAGCUCCAUCAUGCCCACUCCCAUGCACCUUUCAUGGAUUUAUCCCCUGUCUUCUUCUGUUGCCCAUGUAAUAUCCAGACUUUUCCUCCUUUUCCCUGCCCAUCCAGGAUGUUCCCCCUUCCAGCCUUAGCAGCCUCUAAGCUCCCACUACCUCUUCUUUAAUAAUAAUAAUAAUAAUAAUAAUAAUAAUAAUAAUAAUAAUAACAACCCCCUGUACAUCCUGCCCUAUGCACUUUACUAUUUAGAGAUCAUUUCCCAAUCCCCCAUCCCCUCCAUGUCUCUCAAGGACAACUGUAGGAAGCAGCCUUGGCAGAGCUUCAUGCGUUCAUUCUGUGUCCAGGGCCUCUGCAACUGAGCUACAUCCCCAGCCCUAUUUUGUUUUUAAUUUUGAGACAGAAUCUCACUAAAUUACUAAUUUUCCCAGGCUGGGCUUGAACUUGUGAUCCUCUUGCCUCAUCCUCCCAGAGUCCUGGAAUUACAGGCAUGCGCCACAACACCUGGCUGCAUGAUGCUAUAUUCUUAAAAAGAACCCUGUCCACCUCAACCAAUCUUGGUGGUUUUUUUGUUUGUUUGUUUGUUUGUUUGUUUUCCAAUCUUGGUUUUGAUCUAAUUAUCCUGAAGAUUUCCAAGAAUCAUCAGAGGCAAUUUAUAAUUUUAGUCAUAUGUGUUUCACAAUACAAGAAUAGAAAAAUGCAAAAAGUAGAAAACAACACAUACUAAAAUGAUUAUUAUUCAAAUCUACCUAAUUUAAUUCCUAUAACCAUGCAGUUAACUUUCACUCUUAGCUGGCCAAGGUAUUACACACCUGUAAUUCCAAUUACUUAAGAGGCUGAGGCAGGAGGAUCAUGUAUUUGACCCCAGCCUGGGCAAUUUAAUGAAACUGUCUCAAAAAAAUAAGGGCUGGGGAUAUAGCUCAGUGGUAGGGCACUCCUGGGUUCAAUCCAUAGUACUGAGAAAAAUUUUUUUCUUUCCCUCUGUUUUCCUAGCAGCCAUGAUAAAAAAGAAACAAUCAGAAUUUUAUAACUUUCAUCAUCCAUUCAUGGGAAGUGGAAUGCUAUAACUUUUGUCUUUUGUUUCUAGCUUUUUUAGGGGAAGAGGAUACUGAGAAUUGAACCCAUGGCCUUCACACCGAGCCACAUCCCCAAUCCUUUUUUAUUUUGAGACAGGCUCUUCCUUAGUUAUCCAGUUUGGGCUCACACUUACAGUCCUCCUGCCUCAGCCUCCCAGAGUGUCAGGAUUACAGGCAUGUGCCAGCAUGCCCUGCUCUGGCUCCUCUUCUGCUUAGCUUGUUCGCACCAGCAGAUGGGCCAGCCCAUGGCCAGGUUUUCCUCUUCUAGAUCCCAGGCUUAUUUUAUUGUAGCACCAUCCCUCAGCCUUCCCACAGCAUCCUCCCCAGCACUGCUCCUUCCUGUGGGUUUUCCUACAACCUCAGCAACACACUCCUCCCUCCCACGGUCACAUUCAGGGAAGUACCCCUGGCUGCCCUGUGUAUUUAUUUUGUGUUUUCUCACACUAGAGUGGGCCCUUUCCCCGAUGUAUCAUGCAGCACAGCCUUGCCAGCCCUUCUCAUUGGGUUCACACUCCCCUAGCACCUCCCAGUGCAGAAAGACAUCCCCCAGGCCCACCCUCCAAGCCAUACUGUCUUUCUGUCCACAGCCUCCAAGUAGCAACCCCAGCACCUUCCACUGAGGAGAGUGUGGUGGGCAUGAACUUGGAUUCCCUCUUCCAGCCUCCUCUGCCCUCCCCAGUGCUACAUGGCCUUAGUUGUAAAGCAGAUGCAGCCCGACUUGGGUUCUUCUCUCUGUGGCCAUCUGUCCCACUAUCUGAGCAACUCUCUGUCCGCUCUGGGCCACCUUACCUCCCAACCUAACAAAACUUGCAGUUUGCAGAAUCCCCAGACCCAACAUCCACGGGACUGAAGACAAUUCUGGGCCUGAAUUCCUCCUCAGGUCUCCACCACUUGCCCUGCGCACUCCAACCUUACCCUCCAGAGACCCUCCUUGUCCCCUCAUCUAUCCCAUUGGCCCUGCUCCCCUCCCUUUUCACCUAUCACCAGGUCUUUGGACACCAGACCCCAGGGAUUUCUUCAACAUCCUGGAUGGACUAGGCAGUCAGGGACAGGCUGCCUCCUUUGAAGCUCCAUUCUGAAACCACCCAAGCCACUCUCAUGAAGAGGGCCCUCAACUAGCAGUCUGCCCCUAUUCUUGGCUGAUCUCAUCUCUGGCUCUCCCAACUUUAUGGUCCUCUGAGGAGCACUAGGAUGACCCUAUGGGCCCCAGAGGACCCCUCAGGUCCUGUAGCCCCAUCCUUUCUCUGCUUGGCCCUGGUAUCCUGGUUCCUCUCUCAGCUGUGCCAGUGAUCUCUGUGCCUUAGUUUACUUCUCUGCACAGGGGGGCGCUCACCACAAGACCAUUCCCGUUAGCUUUUUAGAUCCUUUGGUGCCUAUAAUGCUGGCUCUUGCCAGCAUGGCUCUGGCUAGGGGUACCAGGUUGCUGAGGAUGAGGUGACUAGGGACACCAUUCCAGACCAGUAGUUUUCAGAUUGUGUCCCAGUAGCAGAAUGAGAAUCUGACAGAAGUGCAGAUUAUCAGCCCUGCCCAAUAUCCACUGGAUUAGAACUUCUGGAGCAGGGCCUACCAAGUUAGGGUUUGACAGAGCCUUCCAAGUCAUUCUAAUAUACACAGGUUUGCCAACUGGACUCCUCCCAGUAUUGCCUUGGGAGGGGCUGGGGUUGGCCCAAGCCAAGAAUAAUGGAAAGCAUUUCAUCUGGACUUCUGAGAUUGGAGAAGCCCCCAAACAAAACCAACCCUCUGUGUCUUCUUUCUAAAAGCCAGAGAGGAUGCAGUUUUCCUCUUUUCUGCUCCUGGCUGGGUUCCAGCUCUAUUCACCUCUCCCACCUGUCUGGAUUUUCCAGACUGCUGCGUGGGUAUUAGGAGUAGGCAAGGGUGGGAGCCCUGGGGAGGCAGGUGGCAGAGGAGACUGUUUAUCCUUUGGGAACAUCAUAGGCCAGAUGGCUUCUCUUGAAAUGGAAAGAAAGCCAACUACACAAGAAGAGAAUCCUAAAUCUCCUUGUGCUCCCUUUCCUUUUCCUGUCUCUCCUCUUCCUCCCUUCCCCACCCCACAGAGAACUUGUAGACAGUGCCAAAAAACCAGCUCUGGCCCCCAGCCCCUUGGGAAGAGAGCCAGAAGUUGCCCUUCCUCAUCCUGCUCCCCCCAUCCCCUGCCAGUACUGUGAAGCCCCCUUCCUGCUCAGCCUGAUUUCCUGGUGAGGGUCCUGUAGUCAUGGGUCCCGGGGGAGCCCCAGGGAAAGGCCCUCGGGAGGGAAGGGACCAAGGGCAUCCUUGGGCCAACUGUCCUCCUCUUCCUUACACUGUUUGCUCCUCCUCACUUCUGUCUUCAAAAGGCUCCUUCCCAGGAUGGAUUGGGUGCUAGGACUACUGCAGUCCAAUCCACCAGCUCUCCCUGCCCUGUCUUAUUUUGACAUGAGAAUAACUGUACAGUAUGAACUUACAAAGUGUUUUUAAUGGUUGUAGAUUGGAAAUAAAGUAUGUCAUAUGAAUGGUU
ensembl:lncRNA